UUUUCCCAUAUCAGUGAUUUCUGUGAAUGCUACUUUUCAGUAUCUGUUAUUCUUAACUGUGAUUUGUCGCAGUUAAGAAUCGCAGUUAAGGAAUCCAGCUCUUGUAUCCCUCCGCACUCUACCACUGUGAUAUCUGCUACUUCUGCGACUUCUGCUACUUCUGCGACUUCUGCUACUUCUGCGACUUCUGCAAUUUCUGCGACUUCUGCGAUUUCUGCUACUUCUGCGAUUUCUGUGACUCCUGCGAUUUCUGCGACUCACCACCGUAUGAAAAACUUACAUCUGUCCACACAGAAAAUUGCAUCUCAACAAACUUGUCAUUGGUACGCGAACUACAUUUCAGUCACUCAGUAAAGUGAUAACUCAAAAUAUCAUUGUCAACAGAUCUGGAGAAAUUGCCACUGCGUCUUUAGACCGUUUUCGUCAGACGAGAGACACAGUUCUGACUCUGAUUACUGGUUGCUGUACGUAUCUAUCCACAUCAAGGCUGUUGCUUGUGAAGAUUCAAGACAGCUCUUAGAAGAUUUUGCAGUUUAAAAGUGACAUAAUAGUGAAAUAA